GGAGAAAGUCAUAACGGUUAUGUGGUUGGCUUGAAACCAAUUGUAGGAGGUUCAAUUCCUUCCUUUCUUA
rnacentral:tRNA from 1 species